AGCUUCCUUCGGGGCAGCGGUGACAGGUGGUGCAUGGUUGUCGUCAGCUCGUGUCGUGAGAUGUUGGGUUAAGUCCCGCAACGAGCGCAACCCUUAUCUUUAGUUGCCAGCAUUCAGUUGGGCACUCUAGAGAGACUGCCGUCGACAAGACGGAGGAAGGCGGGGAUGACGUCAAAUCAUCAUGCCCCUUAUGACCUGGGCUACACACGUGCUACAAUGGUUGGUACAACGGGAUGCUACCUCGCGAGAGGACGCCAAUCUCUUAAAACCAAUCUCAGUUCGGAUUGUAGGCUGCAACUCGCCUACAUGAAGUCGGAAUCGCUAGUAAUCGCGGAUCAGCAUGCCGCGGUGAAUACGUUCCCGGGCCUUGUACACA
rnacentral:rRNA from 1 species